UACGUAGGGUGCGAGCGUUGUCCGGAAUUAUUGGGCGUAAAGAGCUCGUAGGCGGUCUGUCGCGUCUGCUGUGAAAACCCGAGGCUCAACCUCGGGCUUGCAGUGGGUACGGGCAGACUAGAGUGCGGUAGGGGAGAAUGGAAUUCCUGGUGUAGCGGUGGAAUGCGCAGAUAUCAGGAGGAACACCAAUGGCGAAGGCAGUUCUCUGGGCCGUAACUGACGCUGAGGAGCGAAAGCGUGGGGAGCAAACAGG
rnacentral:rRNA from 1 species